AUCGCUUGUACAUCAUCUUAUUAUUUUUCUCCACGCAGCCUCAAGGCCCAGUUACGUCACUUCCUCUGCUCUAGAAUGAUUCCCUUCCUCUCCCUCCUACCUCAGCUGGAAGGAGCAGGCCAGGCACCUUGUAACCACACAGUCAAAGUUCCUUCCAGAAAACAGGCAAAGGCACACACAGGCAGGCAGUUGCUCAGAGACAAGCCUCAGGGACAUCCGCCUCCUAUCUCCCUACAACUCAGCCUCGGAAAGGGGAUGGAAGACAGGAGUUAAAAAUCAUAACAGGCUCCAUUCCUAAACUGGUUUGCAAUUAUUGAG
rnacentral:lncRNA from 1 species